UACGAAGGGGGCGAGCGUUGUUCGGAUUUACUGGGCGUAAAGGGCGCGCAGGCGGCGACCCAAGUCAGGCGUGAAAGCCCCGGGCUUAACCUGGGAGGUGCGUCUGGGACUGGGUGGCUAGAGUGUGGGAGAGGGCAGUGGAAUUCCCGGUGUAGCGGUGAAAUGCGUAGAUAUCGGGAGGAACAUCAGUGGCGAAGGCGACUGCCUGGCCCAACACUGACGCUGAGGUGCGAAAGCGUGGGUAGCAAACAGG
rnacentral:rRNA from 1 species